rnacentral:rRNA from 1 species
UACGUAGGUGGCAAGCGUUGUCCGGAAUUAUUGGGCGUAAAGCGCGCGCAGGUGGUUUCUUAAGUCUGAUGUGAAAGCCCACGGCUCAACCGUGGAGGGUCAUUGGAAACUGGGGAACUUGAGUGCAGGAGAGAAGAGUGGAAUUCCACGUGUAGCGGUGAAAUGCGUAGAGAUGUGGAGGAACACCAGUGGCGAAGGCGACUCUUUGGCCUGUAAUUGACACUGAGGCGCGAAAGCGUGGGGAGCAAACAGG